CUCUCUGGAUAGAGGUUGCAGUUCUCUUGGGCUGUUGCUGGUCAUCAGAAAGGGCUCAUCUCCAGACUGAGAUCCCAAGUGGAGCAUUAUCAUAACUUGAAUCGCUGUUUCCCGGAGGCUGCACGUCUCGCACACUGUCCUGCUGUGGCUGGGAAUGCAUGAGGCUUGCGUCACCAUUGAGAGCAUGUGGUUAUAUAAGUGGUAUCCUAAGGAGAGGCAACAACACGUCCCUCUCGGAGAUGUCUGAAAACCUGGCUGUGACCUAGAAAAGACGCAGAGGAGGAGUUGUUUACGGUGCGUCUUUGUUGAAUUAGAAAUAUGAAUACUGGUGAAUUUGUACAAGAGAACAAAGAUCACAGGAAUACAGCAAAGGCCUUGUGUAUCCUCUGGCCAGCAGCAGCUGGGACUAACAAUUCUCUAGAAAACAAGCAAAAAAAAAUAUUCCAGCUUUUGAGUCAAAGCAAGACUUCAUGUCUGUGAGCUCUAACAAAAUCAAUAGAACAAGAGCUUUGACAGAGAAGUCAAUAUAAGUUAUAAGGCGUUCAGAGUAAAAUAUCGCAGCAGAUGAAAGUGGUUUGAGGAAGAGAGGGGAAAAAUGCAUGCACAACUUAUCAAAUCCUUCUACUGAAUUUUGGGUCCUUCUCUAAGUUAUGAAACAGGGAAAAAGCACGGGCUGUUCUUGUACGCCUGAGUUGAGAUUUCAGUUUGGACUUUCAUUGUCUCAGGCUCAAUUUCAGAGAAAGAAAUUACUAUAUAGCUAAGGAAACAUGGAUGCAUCAAACUUUUAAUAACUAUGUACUGAUGUGGUGCAGCACAGAGGCUUUGUAAUUGGGAACUUACAUUGUAUUGUGGGUGGUGGUAUUAAGAAUCUCUCGUCACAAUGCUGAUGUUGCUACCUUGGUGAGCCAGGAAGGCAUACAUCAUUCCGUGCUGGCUAAGGUUUUUCCUUCCCUCAACAAGGAAGAAAAUGGAGGAAUUGUGGGGGGAAUCUCUUUAAGGAGAAAGAAGUGGUGGUGAUCAAAUACCUGCUGUCAGAUGGUGAGAAUAACACAGCAAGUGUACAACCUGUAAUUCAGAUACAAAAACCUCACUUCAAAUUUUCUGCACAGAGCUGAACAGGUCAAGCGUUUCUCACUUGAGAUUCUUCUCUGUAGCUUCAGUUAAGACCUCAGAAACCUACCCUAACUAAAUUCAUUUGUAUGGCACUUACCUUGGACAUCCUCCAGCAACCAGAGAAAGCAGCUCUUCAAAAUGUGUGGAGGAAGCCACCAGAUCAUGGGGCUGGCUGACUUUGUCCACACACAACUACAGGCCUGGGAGCAGCAUGAGGACAUCCUUUCACAGAGGCAGCAAAUGAAGAAGAGAAAAAGGAAGCCACCUCAGCACGUUCUAUCUUCUGCUUUGAUCAAGACCAUGCAAAGAGGCUGGAUGAGGCCCAUUUGUGUCCAAAACAGUUGUGGUGCUAGUCCACUGGAGCUGUGCAGCCACACAUGCUGCUUCCCAUCAGGCAGGAGAUAUACGGGAAUUGCUAAGUUAGGGCCUGAACCAAUGAUUGAGCACCUGGUGAACAGACACAGCCAGCCCUGGGAGCACAGGUGAAUUGCUUUAGACCAUCAGCCUCAUGAGAAGCCUCAUUUAAGAGCUGGCUACCACAGAGGAAGAAUAUUUACCUGGAGAUCUCUCCUUUUGGAGUAUCAGAGGAGCCCUGAUCCUUGGGAUAGCUGAAAUGAAUGUCUUGCCCUUUCUCAUCUCCUCAUGCCAGACCCUGCUGGCCCUGUUGGCUGUGUGGGAGGCCAGAGGAAGCAUUGCUGCUGACUGGGUCCUGUAGACAUCAAGCAGCUCAUACAGCUGCCAUCAGCACUUAGAAUAAUGUGAACAAGAGUUCUCUGCUUAAUGUUUUGACUCAUCCGUGUAACAGAGAAAUGAAGAAUAUUAAUGUGGACGAAAGCAAGAGCUCUGGAUGAACUAUCAUCUGCAAUUGCUCCAGGUAAUUGUGACACUGGAAAUGAACUCUUAUUUCUGCAGCCUUUGUACUUUGCUUCAUUAGACAUUACCUCGCCAAAAAUCAUCCCCACCCCACUUAGCAGAGAUGAGAUGCUGAAGAAUACCGUGGGGAGAGCUACUUUUAAACUAUAAUCCUGGAAAUGCUUAUGCCUGAGCUGUCCUAGUGAAAAACAUGUAUGACUCAUGGAGUUACACAAGCAUAUUUAGUUCUGGAAAGUAGCUGUAGCUUUUCCAGAAACAUUCCCUACAGUUCUUGGCAGGAGCUUGAGAGACCUUUCACAUGUCCAGGAUGUCAAGUAAAGUAGUGAGUGAUAAAGAUCUGAAUGUGUAUAUUUAUUAUGUGCAUAUUUAACAAAAAAUAUUUGUAUUAGACAAGAAAGGGAUAUUACCAUCAAUGUUAGUUCUCUGCUUGCCUUGCCUUGGGGCUUGUUUCUUUCUGCACUGUAGCCACUGUGAAAGGUGGCAAGGAAUCCAUCUGUAGAAAUUCCCUUCUGCUCAGAUAAGAAGGUUCAACUUGGUAUCAUUUAGAACUUUGCUAUAUAGUUUGUCUUAGCUAGAAAGCUUUAUCUUCCCCCCACCGCCAAGAGAUACAAAGUCAUUCAUUACUUGGGGCUCAGUUUUCAAGCAGUGUAAUGCAAUUACUGCUCCAGUACACUUUUGACUUCAGCAAGGUCUUCAGGUACUCAAUACCUGGAAGAUAAGUGAGUGUAAUACCAGUGAGCAGUAUUACAACCCAGAAAAGAGGAAUUAUGCCACCAAAUUAAUUCAUGGUAAAAUAGCAGACCUCAGAAAAAAUUCUGUAGGGGAAGAAAAAAUGUUUCAGCUUCUAAUUACUAUGACUUUAUCAACUCCCAGAAAGAAACACAG